GACUUUCAGUUUUAUGCUGGCGAAAGAAAUCACUGGAGAAUUUUUUAUUUAAAUAAUUGUUAAUGCACCGCAUUCGGUAUCGAUGACGACGCGUUGUAAACAUCCGGUUACAGUGAACGCUAGCUAAUACAAUUCUUCGCCGCAAUGUCUGUUGUCAACUUUGAAAUUACGAUAAGGUUUAACAUAGAAAUUUUAUAUACACUCUCUGAUACGUAUUAAAAGUUCUACAAUUUGAUUUAAUUUUACAUACCACUACUUACAAAUAUAAUACCAUAUAUACAUAUAUAAAAUAUAGGAAUUAGUGAUACAGUGAAGAUGAGUUAUGUUUCCUUUAGAUCCGCUCUUUUAUACACGUGUUCUCCACGGUGGUGUGAAGUUAAAAUGUGUAUGUGUAUUCCUAUCGUUUAUCUUUUGUUUGUUUCAGUCAUAAGACUGCGGCCAUGCUGGGGCACCGUCUUGAAGAAUACUGUUAGUCGAAUGCAUCGACCCCAGUGCUUAUUUUUUUAAAACCUGGUACUUAUUCUAUCGUUUUCUUUAGCUGAACGGCGAAGUUAUGGGGACGUAAACACACCAUCACCGGUUGUCAAGCGGUAGUCAGGGGACAAAGACACGCACAGAUACAUACAUACGACGAGUUUCUUUCAGUUUCCGUCUACCAGAUCCACUCAAAGCUUUGGUCGGCCUGGGGCUAUAGUAGAAGACACUUCCCCCAGCAUACCAUGCAGUGCGACUGAACCAAGAAUCAUAUGACUAGGAAGCAAGAUUCUUAUCACACAGUCACGACUGCACUUGUAGACUAGAGUUAGGAAUUUUCUCGUGCACAAAAAAAAAAAGAAAGAAAAUUACUUUGGAAAUUUUUGCACCAGUAGGUCAUGUCAGUUUCCAGCUGUUACGCCCUUGGUGAAGAUGUGUAAUGUAUGCUUAUCAGAUUUUCAUUUUCACCAAAUGCAGCAACCGGACAUUUUGCAUCAAAUUUUGUUAAAAUCUUGGUGAUACUCAUGCUCAAACCAUACACAAGAUUCGGCAGACCUUUGGUAAUGACGCCAUGAGCAAAACUCAGAUCAAGGAAUGGCACAACCACUUCAAACAUUGCCACACCUAAGUGAAGAGCAAGGCACAUUCAGGCAGGCCAUCCACAAUCCAAAAUGAGGGGCUGAUGGAGAUGGUUUGGCAAAUACCUAUGGAAGACCAUCAUGUAACAAUCCAAGAAAUUGCUCACAAAGUAGGGAUAAGCAAAGGAUCAGUACGUUUCAUUUUAAUGGAGGAUUUAUGAAUGCAGAGAGUGUUGGUAAAAUUUGUCCCAAAGGUGCUGGUGGAGCAACAGAAGCAACUCUGUAUGGAAAUAACUCAGGAUAUGCUGGAUUGUGCAAAACCAUGACCCAGACUUCAUGAAGACCAUCAUCGCUGGUGAUGAGACAUAGGUUUAUCAUCUCUGCUCAGUGUGUGUGAAAAUGAAAAUCUGACAAGCACACACUACACAUCUGUAUUCUAAACAGCCAAGAACUUACAUGGCCUACUGGCACUAAAAUUUUCAUGCAAGCACAAGAUGAAUGAUGUCACUUCCAACCCAAAAUAUUUUGCCCAUGUGGCAUUAGUUUUAGCAAGAGAAAAAAUAAAAUCGGAUACAUUUUGAAUGCACCUCAUACAUAUUGGAUUGUAACCUUUGAUAGAGAGAACGAUGGUCACGCUGGAGCAUCUUUGAUCAUAAGUCUACUAAAUGAAGAUAGAUUAGCUUCAUCAACAGCAACAGCACCGUCGCUACUGUAACAAAUAGAGCAUAUGGUACAAGGCCAUCAAUUUUGAGGGAGGAGGAUAAUCAAUUACAUUGAUACCAGAAAGAUGAAAGACAAAGUUGAUACUUCGCAGAAUUUGAACUCAAAAUGCAAUGAGUCAGAAGAAAUGUCACAAAGAAUUUUGUUCAACUUCCUAUUGAUUCUGCCAGUUCAGUUAAUUUUAUUAAACUGAGUGUUGACAAACACCAUACAAAGAAAAAGAGGAAUAAACAUUUUAUUACGACAGACAGAGGGAGAGAGUGUGUGUGUGUGUGUGCAGACGCUUGCAAAGACACCUGAGAACUGACAGAGCUUCAGAAAAAAGUAUGAUACAAGGGAGAACACUCUUAUAAUACUUUAAGAAAAAUCUAGUGACAUUGAGUCGUGAUGAACUCAGAGUUCUUCAUGAAUGCAACAGAGAAAGUUUUUGGUAUCGAAGUUUACCAGCUAGUAUGAUAUUUAUUGGUUUAACACAGUUUGCUGUCAACAAAGGU